CAGUAGCCACGGUAAUACAGAGGGUGCGAGCGUUAAUCGGAUUUACUGGGCGUAAAGCGUGCGUAGGCGGCUUCUUAAGUCGGAUGUGAAAUCCCUGAGCUUAACUUAGGAAUUGCAUUCGAUACUGGGAAGCUAGAGUAUGGGAGAGGAUGGUAGAAUUCCAGGUGUAGCGGUGAAAUGAGUAGAGAUCUGGAGGAAUACCGAUGGCGAAGGCAGCCAUCUGGCCUAAUACUGACGCUGAGGUACGAAAGCAUGGGGAGCAAACAGGAUUAGAUACCCGCGUAGUCCCUGUCUCUUAUAC
rnacentral:rRNA from 1 species